AGAGUUUGAUCAUGGCUCAGGACGAACGCUGGCGGCGUGCCUAACACAUGCAAGUCGAACGGAGUUAAGCCCUUCGGGACUUAGCUUAGUGGCGAACGGGUGAGUAACGCGUGAGCAACCUACCUUUCAGUGGGGGACAACAGUUGGAAACGACUGCUAAUACCGCAUGAAACUUAUCGGGGGCAUCCCUGAAAAGUCAAAGCUUUAUGUGCUGAAAGAUGGGCUCGCGUCUGAUUAGCUGGAUGGCGGGGUAACGGCCCACCAUGGCGACGAUCAGUAGCCGGUCUGAGAGGAUGAACGGCCACAUUGGGACUGAGAUACGGCCCAGACUCCUACGGGAGGCAGCAGUGGGGAAUAUUGGGCAAUGGGGGAAACCCUGACCCAGCAACGCCGCGUGAAGGAAGAAGGCCUUCGGGUUGUAAACUUCUUUUACCAGGGACGAAGGACGUGACGGUACCUGGAGAAAAAGCAACGGCUAACUACGUGCCAGCAGCCGCGGUAAUACGUAGGUUGCAAGCGUUGUCCGGAUUUACUGGGUGUAAAGGGCGUGUAGGCGGAGGGGCAAGUCAGAUGUGAAAUCCCGGGGCUCAACCCCGGAACUGCAUUUGAAACUGUUUCCCUUGAGUAUCGGAGAGGCAAGCGGAAUUCCUAGUGUAGCGGUGAAAUGCGUAGAUAUUAGGAGGAACACCAGUGGCGAAGGCGGCUUGCUGGACGACAACUGACGCUGAGGCGCGAAAGCGUGGGGAGCAAACAGGAUUAGAUACCCUGGUAGUCCACGCUGUAAACGAUGAAUACUAGGU
rnacentral:rRNA from 1 species